ensembl:lncRNA
AUGGAAUUCCCAAUAAAUCCCACAAGGACCGAUGGAAAUCCCAAUAAAUCCCACAAGGACCCGCGGUGUCCGAGGGGUCACUCUGGGGGGUAUCCCGGGAAUGGGGCAGGGAGGGUGACCAGUCCCGUCCCAGUGUCCCCAGUCCUGUCCCAGUGUCCCCAGUCCCGUCCCAGUGUCCCCAGUCCUGUCCCAGUGUCCCCAUCCCUAUCCCGAUGUCCCCAAUCCCAAUGUCCCCAUUCCCACUGUCCCCAUUCCCUUCCCAGUAUCCCAGUUCCCAGUGUCCCCAUCCUAAUGUCCCCAAUCCCAAUCCCAGUGUCCCCAUUCCAUCCCACUGUCCCCAUUCCCGUCCCAGUGUCCCUAUUCCCAAUGUCUCCAAUCCCAGUGUCUCCUUUCCCAUUCCCAAUGUCCCCAGUCCCAUUCCCAGUGUCCCCAAUCCCAGUGUCCCCAAUCCCAGUGUCCCCAUUCCAAUCCCAAUAUUUCCAUUCCUGGUGCCUCCAUUUCCGAUGUCCCCAUUUCUGUCCCUGUGUCCCCAUUCCCAAUGUCCCCAAUCCUAAUGUCCCCAUUCCCAUCCCAGUGUCCCCAUUCCCAAUGUCCCUAUUUCCCAAUGUCCCCAUUCCCAAUGUCCCCAUUCCCAGUGUUCCCAUCCUAAUGUCCCCAUUCCCAAUGUCCCAAAUCCUGUCCCAGUGUCCCCAAUCCCAGUGUCCCUAUUCCCAUUCCCACUGUCCCCAGUCCCAUCUCAAUGUCCCCAAUCCCAGUGUCCCCAAUCCCAAUAUCCCCAAUCCAAUCCCAAUGUCCCCAGUCCCAUCUCACUGUCCCCAAUCCCAAUGUCCCCAAUCCCAUCCCAACGUCCCCAAUCCCAUCCCAAUGUCCCCAUUCCCGUCCCCGUGUCCCUAUUCCCAAUGUCCCCAAUCCCAGUGUCUCCUUUCCCAUUCCCAAUGUCCCCAGUCCCAUUCCCAGUGUCCCCAAUCCCAUCCCAAUGUCCCUAUCCCAUUCCCAGUGUCCCCAAUCCCAGUGUCCCCAAUCCCAGUGUCCCCAAUCCCAGUGUCCCCAUCCCAAUCCCUAUAUUUCCAUUCUCAGUGCCUCCAUUUCCGAUGUCCCCAUUCCUGUCCCUGUGUCCCCAUUCCCAGUGUCCCCAAUCCCAUCCCAAUGUCACCAAUCCCUAAAUUCCCAGUGUCCCCAUUCCCAGUGUCCCCAAUCCUAAUGUCCCCAUUCCCAUCCCAGUGUCCUCAUUCCCAAUGUCCUCAUUCCUGUCCCAGUGUCCUCAUUCCCAAUGUCCCCAUUCCCACUGUCCCCAUUCCCAGUGUUCCCAUCCUAAUGUCCCCAUUCCCAAUGUCCCAAAUCCUGUCCCAGUGUCCCCAGUCCCAGUGUCCCUAUUCCCAUUCCCAAUGUCCCCAUUCCCAAUGUCCCCAAUCCCAGUGUCCCCAGUCCCACUGUCAGCAGUCCCAUCCUGAUGUCCCCAUUCCCAACGUCCCCAAUCCCAUUCCCACUGUCCCCAAUCCCAAUCCCAGUGUCCCCAAUCCCAAUGUCCCAAAUCCUGUCCCAGUGUCCCCAAUCCCAGUGUCCCUAUUCCCAUUCCCAAUGUCCCCAAUCCAAUCCCAAUGUCCCCAAUCCCAUCUCAAUGUCCCCAUUCCCAACGUCCCCAAUCCCAGUGUCCCCAAUCCCAGUGUCCCUAUUCCCAUUCCCACUAUCCCCAGUCCCAUCUCAAUGUCCCCAAUCCCAUCUCAGUGUCUCCAUUCCCAACGUCCCCAAUCCCAUUCCCAACAUCCCCAUUCCCAUCUCACUGUCCCCAAUCCCAAUGUCCCCAAUCCCAUCCCAAUGUCCCCAUUCCCAACGUCCCCAAUCCCAUUCCCAACAUCCCCAUUCCCAUCUCACUGUCCCCAAUCCCAAUGUCCCCAAUCCCAUCCCAAUGUCCCCAUUCCCGACCCCAUUCCCAGCCCAAAAAUUCCCAAAUCCCAACUUCCGCUCUCUCCGGCUUUAUUAAAGGCGGGAAAGCAGAAAAAUUCCCUAAAAAAAAAAAUUAUGGGAUUUCCCUCCCCAAAUUCCCGGAGCUGUUUCCUUCCCCAAUUUGGGGACGUUCCCAAAAAUCCCCGAGGAUUUGUAGGAUCACGAGGAUUUUCUGGAGCAUUUUGA